rnacentral:lncRNA from 1 species
CCGGCUUCGGCAAGGACGCCCUCCUCUGCCCCGCCGUGGAGGCAAGCCCCCUCCUCCGUCUGCCGGCGCCGCCGGCACCUGCAUCGAGGACCUUCUUCACGUGCGGCACCACCAACCAAUUCAACUACCAAGGUUGCCGCGGGUACGUGUCGGACGCGAGGGGCGCCCGGUCCCGGCCUGCGGGUACGAGAUGGCGACCCAGUCCCAGUAUGUGGCGGCGCCGGCACCGGCACAACCGGAGCAGGGCGCCGCCACGGCGACGACGGGAUACGUCCAGGGGGGCAUGACGUACACGGUGACGGACGACCUGGCCGUCACGCCCAUGUCGGCCAUCUCCAGCAUCUCCAGCAUCAAGGGUAGCAUGGAGGACAGAGAUCUGGAUGGGGCGGCUAGGGUUUCAGUGGAGAAGAUGUGAUCGGCAGUGGGAUGUAACAAAAAACAAAGGCGGC